UACAGAGGGUGCGAGCGUUUAAUCGGAAUUACUGGGCGUAAAGCGCGCGUAGGCGGCUUUGCAAGUCGGGUGUGAAAUCCCCAGGCUUAACCUGGGAACUGCAUUCGAGACUGCAUUGCUAGAGUAUGGGAGAGGGAAGUGGAAUUUCCGGUGUAGCGGUGAAAUGCGUAGAUAUCGGAAGGAACAUCAGUGGCGAAAGCGACCUCCUGGACCAAUACUGACGCUCAUGCACGAAAGCGUGGGGAGCAAACAGG
rnacentral:rRNA from 1 species